rnacentral:rRNA from 1 species
GCCGCGUGAAGGAUGAAGGUUUUCGGAUUGUAAACUUCUUUGAUUGGGGACGAAAAAAAUGACGGUACCCAAAAAACAAGCCACGGCUAACUACGUGCCAGCAGCCGCGGUAAUACGUAGGUGGCAAGCGUUAUCCGGAAUUACUGGGUGUAAAGGGCGUGUAGACGGGGAUGUAAGUCAGAUGUGAAAUUCUUGAGCUCAACUCAAGCGCUGCAUCUGAAACUACAACUCUUGAGUGAUGGAGAGGAAAGCGGAAUUCCUAGUGUAGCGGUGAAAUGCGUAGAUAUU